CAGUAUCUCUCUGCACCCUGGACAUCCCUGUGGUUCCUUAACAACUUCUCAGGCCACGUAACCUGCUUACCAAUUUCAGCCAGCUGGCCACCCCACCCAGUGACCACCCAUCACAACUGUCAUUCAGAAAACAGCAAGGUGACUUUUUUCUGUUCACUUACGAUGCUUAAUGGGGAAUGCUGUUGAGGUAUUCUCCUGAAGUUGACUGUCCAGUUGAAGGUACCAAUGAAAAUUUGGGCCCCAGCCCCAUCCUGGUCUGAGGACAUUGGCUGAGGUCAAAAGGGAGGAUACUGAGCCUAGCAUAGCUCAUGGCACUGAUGCUUUGUUCUAGGCUUCAAUGAACUCAUCAAAAAUCCUGAGAAGUUGAGUUUAUGGUCAAGAGUCAGUCAAUUAAAAAAAAAAAAAAAAAAAAAAAAAACAGCAGUAGCAGAUUCUUCA